rnacentral:rRNA from 1 species
UACGUAGGGCGCAAGCGUUGUCCGGAAUUAUUGGGCGUAAAGAGCUCGUAGGCGGUCUGUCGCGUCGGCUGUGAAAGCCCGGGGCUCAACCCCGGGUCUGCAGUCGAUACGGGCAGGCUAGAGUGCGGUAGGGGAGACUGGAAUUCCUGGUGUAGCGGUGAAAUGCGCAGAUAUCAGGAGGAACACCAAUUGCGAAGGCAGCUCGCUGGGACGUUACUGACGCUGAGACGCGAAAGCGUGGGGAGCAAACAGG